GAACAACAUAAAUCUAAUACAGGAAUAGCAGUAAAAGCUAGUGACAGGGUUAAUUGCUAGAAUAGCAGAGUUAGCCACACAGGAAAGACAGAUAGACAGGGGAACGCAGGAAUAGUAGUUGGGUGCAGAGUGAUGUGUAAGUGAAUACUGGAGAAGUGGGUGGAAUAGUAGGGCAGUUAAAAGUAGUUGCACAGUGGUGUGUAGCUGUAUACGGGUAUAGAGGAAGAGACUGACUGGGUGGAUGGAUAUCAAGGAAUAAUACAGGGGCAAUCAAUAUCAGGAUGGAGUAGUAGAGUGGUGUCUAGUGGUAAGAUGGGGUAGUAGAGUGGUGUGUAGUGAGAACAUGGAGUAGGAGAGCAGUGUGCCAUGACGGGCUGGAAUAGUAGAGUGGUGUGUAGUGGUCAGAUGGAGGAGUAGAGUGGUGUGUGGUGGUCAGAUGGAGUAGUAGAGCGGUGUGUAGUGAGAAGAUGGAGUAGUAGAGUGGUGUGUAGUGAGAACAUGGAGUAGGAGAGCAGUGUGCCAUGACGGGCUGGAAUAGUAGAGUGGUGUGUAGUGGUCAGAUGGAGGAGUAGAGUGGUGUGUGGUGGUCAGAUGGAGUAGUAGAGCGGUGUGUAGUGAGAAGAUGGAGUAGUAGAGUGGUGUGUAGUGAGAACAUGGAGUAGGAGAGCAGUGUGCCAUGUCGGGCUGGAAUAGUAGAGUGGUGUGUAGUGGUCAGAUGGAGGAGUAGAGUGGUGUGUAGUGGUCAGAUGGAGUAGUAGAGUGGUGUGUAAUGAGAACAUGGAGUAGUAGAGUGGUGUGUAGUGAGAAGAUGGAGUAGUAGAGUGGUGUGUAGUGAGAAGAUGGAGUAGUAGAGUGGUGGGUAGUGAAAAAAAAAUGGAGUAGUAGAGUGGUGUGUAGUGAGAAGACAGAGUGGUAUGUAGUGAGAAGAUGGAGUAGUAGAAUGGUGUGUAGUGAGAAUAUGGAGUAGUAGAAUGGUGUGUAGUAAGGAUAGCCUGCAGCAGCCGCAUGGUUUUUCAUGAUAGAAUAUCGGC